rnacentral:rRNA from 1 species
UUCUUCGGAUGAAGAUCUUGGUGACUGAGUGGCGGACGGGUGAGUAACGCGUGGAUAACCUGCCUCACACAGGGGGACAACAGUUGGAAACGACUGCUAAUACCGCAUAAGCGCACGGUAUCGCAUGAUACAGUGUGAAAAACUCCGGUGGUAUGAGAUGGACCCGCGUCUGAUUAGCCAGUUGGCGGGGUAACGGCCCACCAAAGCGACGAUCAGUAGCCGGCCUGAGAGGGUGAACGGCCACAUUGGAACUGAGACACGGUCCAAACUCC